GGGGACCCGCAAGCGGUGGAUGAUGUGGAUUAAUUCGAUGCAACGCGAAAAACCUUACCUACCCUUGACAUGGCAGGAAUCCCCGAGAGAUCGGGGAGUGCUCGAAAGAGAACCUGCACACAGGUGCUGCAUGGCUGUCGUCAGCUCGUGUCGUGAGAUGUUGGGUUAAGUCCCGCAACGAGCGCAACCCUUGUCAUUAGUUGCUACGAAAGGGCACUCUAAUGAGACUGCUGCCGGUGACAAACCGGAGGAAGGUGGGGAUGACGUCAAGUCCUCAUGGCCCUUAUGGGUAGGACUUCACACGUCAUACAAUGGUACAUACAGAGGGCCGCCAACCCGCGAGGGGGAGCUAAUCCCAGAAAGUGUAUCGUAGUCCGGAUUGUAGUCUGCAACUCGACUGCAUGAAGUUGGAAUCGCUAGUAAUCGCGGAUCAGCAUGUCGCGGUGAAUACGUUCCCGGGUCUUGUACACACC
rnacentral:rRNA from 1 species